AGUAGACCGAGCAGCCGCGGGUGCAGUUCCGAAAGGACGCAUGCGAGGAAAGUCCGAGCUCCACAGGGUAGGAUAACGGCUAACGGCCGCCGGGGGCGACCCUAGGGAAAGUGCAACAGAGAUAUACCGCCGCGCCCAGCGCGGCAAGGGUGGAAAGGCGAGGUAAGAGCUCACCAGCGCACGGGGAACCGUGCGGCUCUGCAAACCCUAUCCGGAGCAACACCGCGGAGGGACAGUAGCGCCGGCCCGGCGCGUCCCGGGGAGGUGGCAUUGAGCCGAGGCGGCAACGCCCGGCCAAGAUAGAUGGCUGUUCAAGACAGAACUCGGCUUAUAGGUCUGGUCG
rnacentral:RNase_P_RNA from 1 species